rnacentral:rRNA from 1 species
CCCUUAGAUGUUCUGGGCCGCACGCGUGCUACACUGAUGCAUUCAACGAGUUCCUACCUUGGCCGAGAGGCCUGGGCAAUCUUUUGAACUUGCAUCGUGAUAGGGAUAGAUUAUUGCAAUUAUUAAUCUUGAACGAGGAAUUCCUAGUAAACGCAGAUCAUCAAUCUGCAUUGAUUACGUCCCUGCCCUUUGUACACACCGCCCGUCGCUCCUACCGAUUGAAUGAUCCGAUGAAUAUCAUGGAUUGAGGAUGCAAGCAGGUUCGCCUGUCUUCAUCUUCGAGAAGUGAAGUAAAUCUUAUCAUUUAGAGGAAGGAGAAGUCGUAACA